GACGAACGCUGGCGGCGUGCCUAAUACAUGCAAGUUGAGCGCUGAAGGUUGGUACUUGUACCAACUGGAUGAGCAGCGAACGGGUGAGUAACGCGUGGGGAAUCUGCCUUUGAGCGGGGGACAACAUUUGGAAACGAAUGCUAAUACCGCAUAAAAACUUUAAACACAAGUUUUAAGUUUGAAAGAUGCAAUUGCAUCACUCAAAGAUGAUCCCGCGUUGGAUUAGCUAGUUGGUGAGGUAAAGGCUCACCAAGGCGAUGAUACAUAGCCGACCUGAGAGGGUGAUCGGCCACAUUGGGACUGGGACACGGCCCAAACUCCUACGGGAGGCAGCAGUAGGGAAUCUUCGGCAAUGGACGAAAGUCUGACCGAGCAACGCCGGGUGAGUGAAGAAGGUUUUCGGAUCGUAAAACUCUGUUGGUAGAGAAGAACGUUGGUGAGAGUGGAAAGCUCAUCAAGUGACGGUAACUACCCAGAAAGGGACGGCUAACUACGUG
rnacentral:rRNA from 1 species